rnacentral:rRNA from 1 species
GACGAACGCUGGCGGCGUGCUUAACACAUGCAAGUCGAACGGAAAGGCCCUGCUUUUGUGGGGUGCUCGAGUGGCGAACGGGUGAGUAACACGUGAGUAACCUGCCCUUGACUUUGGGAUAACUUCAGGAAACUGGGGCUAAUACCGGAUAGGAGCUCCUGCUGCAUGGUGGGGGUUGGAAAGUUUCGGCGGUUGGGGAUGGACUCGCGGCUUAUCAGCUUGUUGGUGGGGUAGUGGCUUACCAAGGCUUUGACGGGUAGCCGGCCUGAGAGGGUGACCGGCCACAUUGGGACUGAGAUACGGCCCAGACUCCUACGGGAGGCAGCAGUGGGGAAUAUUGCACAAUGGGCGGAAGCCUGAUGAAGCAACGCCGCGUGCGGGAUGACGGCCUUCGGGUUGUAAACCGCUUUCGCCUGUGACGAAGCGUGAGUGACGGGAAUGGGUAAAGAAGCACCGGCUAACUACGG